GGUACCGUGGCUUAGCUGGCUAAAGCUCCUGCCUAGUAAACAGGAGAUCCUGGUUGGAGUUCCAGUGGUGCCU
rnacentral:tRNA from 1 species